rnacentral:rRNA from 1 species
UACGAAGGGUGCAAGCGUUACUCGGAAUUACUGGGCGUAAAGCGUGCGUAGGUGGUUCGUUAAGUCUGAUGUGAAAGCCCUGGGCUCAACCUGGGAAUGGCAUUGGAAACUGGCGACCUAGAGUGCGGUAGAGGGUAGUGGAAUUCCCGGUGUAGCAGUGAAAUGCGUAGAGAUCGGGAGGAACACCAGUGGCGAAGGCGACUACCUGGCCUGUUCUUGACGCUGAGGCGCGAAAGCUAGGGGAGCAAACGGG